rnacentral:rRNA from 1 species
GACGUAGGGGGCAAGCGUUGUCCGGAUUUAUUGGGCGUAAAGAGCUCGUAGGCGGCUUGUCGCGUCGACUGUGAAAUCCCGCGGCUCAACUGCGGGUCUGCAGUCGAUACGGGCAGGCUAGAGUUCGGUAGGGGAGACUGGAAUUCCUGGUGUAGCGGUGAAAUGCGCAGAUAUCAGGAGGAACACCGAUGGCGAAGGCAGGUCUCUGGGCCGAUACUGACGCUGAGGAGCGAAAGCGUGGGGAGCGAACAGG